rnacentral:lncRNA from 1 species
CCUAUGAACAUGAUUCAACCCCUAUAUAUAGGUCCGAUCCUAUCUCUAAAGUAUAACAACCUAGCUCAACUCAAUUCUCCUCCAAUGAGCACGAUUACUAAUAGGCUUGACUUGAAUGACUCCUUCGGAUAUCCAAAAAAAAUAGAAAAUAGAGAGAAUUAAAAGAGUAAAAGAGAGAGUCUUAAUCUUAUUAGAAGACAAAGAAACAGAGAACUGG